CCCUUAGAUGUCCUGGGCUGCACGCGCGCUACACUGAUGUGUCCAGUAAGCACCUAACCUCUUCCGAAAGGAACGGGUAACCUUUGCAAAGCACAUCGUGAUGGGGAUAGAUUAUUGCAAUUAUUAGUCUUGAACGAGGAAUUCCUAGUAAGCGCGAGUCAUAAGCUCGCGUUGAUUACGUCCCUGCCCUUUGUACACACCGCCCGUCGCUACUACCGAUUGAACGGUUUAGUGAGGGCCUCGGAUUGGUCUCGGCCCGCUCUUUACCGGGCGGCGCCGUUGGUCGAGAAGACGCUCGAACUUGAUCGUUUAGAGGAAGGAGAAGUCGUAACA
rnacentral:rRNA from 1 species